UACGAAGGGUGCAAGCGUUACUCGGAAUUACUGGGCGUAAAGCGUGCGUAGGUGGUUCGUUAAGUCUGAUGUGAAAGCCCUGGGCUCAACCUGGGAAUGGCAUUGGGAAACUGGCGACCUAGAGUGCGGUAGAGGGCAGUGGAAUUCCCGGUGUAGCAGUGAAAUGCGUAGAGAUCGGGAGGAACAUCUGUGGCGAAGGCGACUGCCUGGACCAGCACUGACACUGAGGCACGAAAGCGUGGGGAGCAAACAGG
rnacentral:rRNA from 1 species